GUCCCUUUAGCGCAAUGGAUAGCUUCGUUGGACUUCUAAUCCAAAAGUCGUGGGUAUGAAUCCCAUUUGGGAUG